CCCCCCGGCGGCAUUCCAUGUAACCACCACGACGAGCGGCUGAACCCGCACCCCAGAUCCAUCUCUUCGAGUGCUUAGCGGCGAGCUCCAUGGCGCGGGAUCCCCAUCCCAUCGGUUAUCUCUUCUCCCUUCCCCUCCGCUCCUCUCCGGCGAUCUCUCACUAAUGUGCUGCCUGCUAUUCAAAUUUUUCCAGGCUUGAAGUUCACCGGGUACAGACAGGAUGACCAUGACGAGUCGUUUGGGGGAACACCCACUUGAAGUGUUCAGCCGGCGGAACGCCCGCUCGUGAUGACAAACACUCGGACAAAGUUUUGCAUUUUUGUAGAAGUUCAUUUUGCCAUGUGCAGCUGUUCAUGUUUCUCGGGCGUGCAGUACACUGAGUUUUGUAAAAAAAAUAGGGGACUACUUGCAGAACAUGUUGCAAAUUCUUGCAGUUUUGGCAAUCGAUUUUAUCUACUGUUCGGUGCAAAUUGAGCUCCUGGCUGAUCAAUUCAGUGCGAUGCAGUGCGGUGUGCCUGUUCGCUUAGUUCGACACUCUUCUUGCUUCUUGGGAUGUUCUUCUAGUGAACCUCUUUUUUUCUAAAAACUGCCCACUAUUGGUAGUAAUGUGGUUCACUUCCAUGUAUGUCGAGGUUUAUUUGCACUCGUCUCUGCGGUCCACUCUCGUUUAUAAAAAAAUGUUUAAAAAAAGAAAACAAAAACUCGUUCGAGAAAAUUUACGUCCAACAAAAAGAAAUCAUGAAGUUCGCUUGACUUUCUGAUGCAGUGCGGUUUUCCGUUCGAAGCAGUGCGUUCUUUCAUAAAAAAUGACGACAAAAACUC
rnacentral:lncRNA from 1 species